rnacentral:rRNA from 1 species
CGACCGGCGCACGGGUGAGUAACACGUAUGGAACCUGCCCUAUGCAGGGGGAUAAGCGGAAGAAAUUCCGUCUAAUACCGCAUAACACCUUUAGGAGACAUCUUCUUGGGGUCAAAGGAGGCGACUCCGGCAUAGGAUGGCCAUGCGUCGCAUUAGCUAGUCGGCGGGGUAACGGCCCACCGAGGCGACGAUGCGUAGGGGUUCUGAGAGGAAGGUCCCCCACACUGGUACUGAGACACGGACCAGACCCCUACGGGAGGCAGCAG